AGUUUCAGUCUCGAGGUCCCCGGGCUGCUUCUUAUUUAUGAUCAGAUCAAGGGUAUAAGGUGUCAGUGGGGGCAGCCAGCAGUCAUAGGCCAGAGAGGGGCGACUGCCCGUCCCAAGGGCUUGUCACAGGCCCUGUGGACUUAAAAAGAGAAAUAAGACGCCGUCCCUGCCCUCGGGAGCUCCCGGCGCAUCUGCCCCAACAACUCGCUGAAGCCGCCUGCAGGACGCCUGAGUGAGGACAAGGUGUCUCACUCAGAAAAUUUGCUUGAUUCUUCCUGGCAAGUGGGACAGGGUGAGCUUCCCGGAGGAGGGGACCUUCGAGCUGUGUAGCGGGGAAGGUAGGAGAGCGAUGAGAGCGCCCGGAAGGGACAAGCAUUCGGGGAGACUGAAGCGCAUUCAACAACAUAUUUAUUGAGCACCUACUACGUCCAGGCACUGUUACAUCGGUGAUGUAACAAAAGCCGACAAAAACCCUCACCCCGAGCGCAGGCACCGCAGAGGGCGAUGACGACCCGAGAAGAUGCCGAACGCAGGCCAGGAGGGGGCUCUGGGGAAAAGCAAAGGCAGGGG
rnacentral:lncRNA from 1 species